rnacentral:tRNA from 1 species
CGGGGUGCGCGGUGUGGAUCGGUUCUCGUUAAGAACGAUGAGGUCCCCGGUUCAAAUCCGGGCGCCCCGA